rnacentral:rRNA from 1 species
UCGACCGGGGCGACAGCAAUAUGAAGGUCAGGCUGAAGACCUUACCCGAUUAGCUGAGAGGUGGUGCAUGGCCGUCGUCAGUUCGUACUGUGAAGCAUCCUGUUAAGUCAGGCAACGAGCGAGACCCACGUCCACAGUUGCCAGCAUACCCUCCGGGGUGAUGGGUACACUGUGGAGACCGCCGCUGCUAAAGCGGAGGAAGGAGUGGGCAACGGUAGGUCAGUAUGCCCCGAAUCUCCCGGGCUACACGCGGGCUACAAUGGUUGGUACAAUGGGCAUCUACCCCGAAAGGGGAAGGAAAUCUCUUAAAGCCAAUCGUAGUUCGGAUUGAGGGCUGCAACUCGCCCUCAUGAGGCUGGAAUCCGUAGUAAUCGCGUUUCAACAGAACGCGGUGAAUACGUCCCUGCUCCUU